rnacentral:rRNA from 1 species
GACAGAGGUGCCAAGCGUUAGGCGGAAUCACUGGGCUUAAAGCGUGUGUAGGCGGAAUUGUAAGUACCUUGUGAAAUCCCACGGCUCAACCGUGGAACUGCUCGGUAUACUGCUUUUCUUGAGCCACUUAGGGGCUGUCGGAACAAACGGUGGAGCGGUGAAAUGCGUAGAUAUCGGGAGGAACAUCCGUGGCGAAGGCGGCCACCUGGACCAACAUUGACGCUGAGGCACGAAAGCGUGGGGAGCAAACGGG